UACGGGGGGUGCGAGCGUUAAUCGGAAUAACUGGGCGUAAAGGGCACGCAGGCGGUGACUUAAGUGAGAUGUGAAAGCCCCGGGCUUAACCUGGGAAUUGCAUUUCAUACUGGGUCGCUAGAGUACUUUAGGGAGGGGUAGAAUUCCACGUGUAGCGGUGAAAUGCGUAGAGAUGUGGAGGAAUACCGAAGGCGAAGGCAGCCCCUUGGGAAUGUACUGACGCUCAUGUGCGAAAAGCGUGGGGGAGCAAACAGGAUUAGAUACCCGGGUAGUCC
rnacentral:rRNA from 1 species